rnacentral:lncRNA from 1 species
UUCACAUCAUGGUGCUGACAUAAAUAAGAGUUUGAAUCAUAUUUAGUGGAUGAGGUUGAGGAGAUUAAAGCUCAUUGGUAAUAUUAUAUUUAGCCUGGAACCAAAAGCUAAAACGUCUUAAGCCAGUCUUCCAGAAUGAGGGAGAGCUUUUCGGUGAGCAUUAAGCAGAGACAUAAAACCCUGGGAUGGAUGACAGAGAACUGGUUGUAUUUCCACCCCUGAAGAACUGCACAGUAUUAUCUUUUACAUGGUGGCCAUUAAUAAACUUAAAGGAAAAAGGAUGGACUAGUUGAUGUUUAGAGGUUCUUUAUCUGUAU